GUGUUGGUUAAUUCUGUCUGCAGACCUCUGUUGUUUUGACUGCCACUCAUGUAACACCUGACAGUGUGGAUCUAAAAUGUGCAGCCAGUCUUGUGAAUGGCAGAUAGGAACAUGGAAGUGCAAGGAGGAAAAUCCUGAGUACUCAAAGGAAGGAACUUGUCAGCAGAUUGGACCAGAAAAAGGGAGAGAUCAAAGGAAGGAGGCAAAGGAAACCAGAGUGAAGUAAAACCAGAACAACACACGAUGAGACUGUGAAAAUAAGUGCUUAUUUUCCAUACAUCCUAAAGUGUUUAUUUUAGUAUUUUCAUUUUUCUUUAAUAGUGCAACUUUAAUAGUUUCUCUAACUUUUCCCAAGUCACAUCUGAUCAGUAGCCAAAUUCUUGAUGUGCCC
rnacentral:lncRNA from 1 species